UCUCCUUCCACCUCGGCAACAAGCUCUGCUCCUCCACCCUCCUCUCCACCCUCCUCUACGACCUCUUCCUCAGCGCCUUCUCCUCCGACCACCCCCUCCGCGCCGCCACCGUCGCCGACCUCCGCGCCGCCCGCGCCCGCGACCCCGCCUGCGUCUCCUUCUCCCACUGCCUCCUCAACUACAAGGGCUUCCUCGCGUGCCAGGUUAGGGAUCGCGAUUUCGUCAAUCGCGAUUUCGCCGUCUCCGCAAUUCGCGUGUCGUUAGAUUGAGGCCGAUGAUUUUCCUGCACUGCUUCUUGGGCGUGAUUUACGAGAUCAAUCUGAUUCCAAUUUUUUUGUCUUUUUUUGUAUUUGGUGAAAUUUCGGGUUUGGAAUAGUGAAGUGAGGGGUGACCUGGAUUGUAGGAUUAGAAUAUGCAGGGUUCAAUUUUAGUUUCUUUUUCUCGUGUACAAGUCAAUGCGAGGCGAUAAUUAAGCUAAGCUAUCUUUUCAUUGGGUAUAUAGAAUAGGGUCUUCUUGAUUGAUGCGACUGGAAUUCGACUUGCAGAUCUCCACUGAGGUUCUGCGUUUGAAGAGAGAGAAAGGGGGCGUUGGGGUAUUAGGAGCUGUACCCACUUCCUAUUUCCUUCCGUUGUUGUUUCUGUGCGUGCAAGCUUGGAUUUUUAGCUUGAUGGAAGGCAAUGAGAAAUGAUUUUGCUAAUCUUUUGCCUGUGGCUUGACUUCGGGUUUUGUCCUGAUAGUUGAUUUAGAGAGGUGAAACAAUGAGGGUG
rnacentral:lncRNA from 1 species